rnacentral:rRNA from 1 species
AACGCGAAGAACCUUACCUACCCUUGACAUCUUCGGAAGCUUGCAGAGAUGCGAGUGUGCCUUUGGGAACCGAGAGACAGGUGCUGCAUGGCUGUCGUCAGCUCGUGUCGUGAGAUGUUGGGUUAAGUCCCGUAACGAGCGCAACCCCUAUUUUUAGUUGCCAGCAUUUAAGGUGGGAACUCUAAGGAGACUGCCGGUGAUAAGCCGGAGGAAGGUGGGGACGAAGUCAAGUCAUCAUGGCCCUGAUGGGUAGGGCUACACACGUGCUACAAUGGGCGGUACAGAGGGAAGCGAAGCCGUGAGGUGGAGCGAAUCUCAGAAAGCCGUUCGUAGUCCGGAUUGGAGUCUGCAACUCGACUCCAUGAAGUUGGAAUCGCUAGUAAUCGCAGAUCAGAACGCUGCGGUGAAUACGUUCCCGGGCCUUGUACACACCGUGUCGA